rnacentral:rRNA from 1 species
GACGAACGCUGGCGGCGUGCUUAACACAUGCAAGUCGAACGAAGCUUGAUUACGGAUUCUUCGGAUGAAGUAUGAUAUGACUGAGUGGCGGACGGGUGAUUAACGCGUGAGUAACCUGCCCUUCAGAGGGGGAUAGCGUUUGGAAACGAACGGUAAUACCGCAUAAUGUAUUUUGACCGCAUGAUCGAAAUACCAAAGAUUUAUUGCUGAAAGAUGGACUCGCGUCUGAUUAGGUAGUUGGUGCGGUAACGGCCUACCAAGCCGACGAUCAGUAGCCGGACUGAGAGGUUGAUCGGCCACAUUGGGACGGAGACACGGCCCAGACUCCUUCGGGAGGCAGCAGUGGGGAAUAUUGCACAAUGGGCGCAAGCCUGAUGCAGCAACGGCUCGUGAAGGAAGACGGUUUUCGGAUUGUAAACUUCUGUUCUUAGUGAAGAAUAAUGACGGUAGCUAAGGAGCAAGCCACGGCUAACUACGUG